GCUCGGGGAGGGUGGACGAUGUGGCUGGGCCGGCGAGAAUCCAGGGGCUGCAGGCAAGGACGGGGACUCGCGAUGAAACCCGAAGAUCAGGGGCUGGUGGCAGUGACCGCGAGGGGCCUCCAAGCAGCCCAAUCAAUCUCGGACGAGGGGUCGAGUCAGUGGCGGUGCAGGCGGCAAAGGCAGCCAGGGUCUGAGCAGCGCGGCUCCAGCCCCAGCAGCAACGGGAGAGCGCGUGCGCCGCCCCAGACGACUGGACGCGCCCUCGUGACGCCAUCAGCGCGCGCCGCCCCAACUUCCGAGCGCAAGCGUGGUCGCCCCCACAGCCUGUGGGCUACGGGAACGCGAUCCGACUCGGCGGCCCUCCCUGCCUGGAUGGCCGGUCCCCGAGGCUGAGGAAGUCCAUUCCUCUUUCGGAAAUGGUCCCCAGGAAGCUUCUCCGUGUCCCCCUAUGGCCGGGCGAGUCUCCCGGGCCCCGAGAGGAGGGGGUGACUGGUCAGGGUCAUCGGUAGCGGCGGCAGGGGCCUGCAUAGGGCUGCCUCGGGGCGACUAGCAGAAUGGCCGCCAGCCUCGGCUGCCCCAGCCCCCAGCGCAUGGAAUGUGCCCCGGGCCCCAGGAGCUCCAGGAACCGCGCUUGUGAGACGGAGCUUCGGCUGCUUGGAGCUAGUGAGCCACCGGCCACGGCAGGGAUUUGAGCAGAACUUGGGGGCAGAGGGAUGAGAUGGUGCAUCCCUUGAGGUCACUUCAGGAGAUGACACUCCUGUGGCUAAGUGUAGCUUCCCAGGUCAUGGCUCCCAGGUCAGGCCUGGUCAAUGGAGAAUUAAGUGGGCGUUGGGUGGUGGAUGGAUGUGAUUUGGCAGAGGGGACAAAUGUGACAACAGUGUAAUAAGGGCCAUGUUGGGGAGGGUCAGGGGUCAGGGUCCGGCCCAACCUGAGCAGAAGGGAGGCUGCUCUCAGGGAUAUUUGUCAGGUAGGAAUGGGUGGAGUGGAACUACAGGGCCACCAUGUUUCCCAUGGGUCACCCAUGGUGGCCUUGUCAUGUUUAUCCGUGAUCCUCAGUGUUCUCUGUGGUCCUCCCGUCACCCCUUUCAGACUGUCCUUUCAGUUCUCCACUGUCCCUGCAUCACCUCUGCCCCUGUCCCGUUUGUCUGUGUUCAGUCCAUGUUCCCAGGUCUUGAGGUGGCCCCUGGUUCUAUGCCCCUUACCUAAGACCCUGUGCAGGGAAUCUGUGAAAACACAGAGGAAAUAAAAAGUGAGGAAAAUAGUACUCUUGCAUCCUCGACCAAGAUAGUGUUUGUUGUGAGUGCUGAGACGGACCAGCAUUCUCUUUGUUGGUGAAGAGGAGACAGACCCAUCCACAGGAGUCAUUGGCUUUUUUGAAUACUAAGCUCUGACUGCCAUUCAUCAUCUACACAGGGACAGAAAACCCGGUCUGGGGGACGUGGCACGCAGCAGUGUGUGAGGGGAAUGCCAAGGAAUCUGGGGAGCGUCAAGGAAUCUGGGGAGCGGGAAGAUGGAGCGGGG
rnacentral:lncRNA from 10 species